rnacentral:rRNA from 1 species
GACGAACGCUGGCGGCGUGCCUAAUACAUGCAAGUUGAGCGCUGAAGGUUGGUACUUGUACCAACUGGAUGAGCAGCGAACGGGUGAGUAACGCGUGGGUAAUCUGCCUUUGAGCGGGGGACAACAUUUGGAAACGAAUGCUAAUACCGCAUAAAAACUUUAAACACAAGAUUCAAGUUUGAAAGAUGCAAUUGCAUCACUCAAAGAUGAUCCCGCGUUGUAUUAGCUAGUUGGUGAGGUAAAGGCUCACCAAGGCGAUGAUACAUAGCCGACCUGAGAGGGUGAUCGGCCACAUUGGGACUGAGACACGGCCCAAACUCCUACGGGAGGCAGCAGUAGGGAAUCUUCGGCAAUGGACGAAAGUCUGACCGAGCAACGCCGCGUGAGUGAAGAAGGUUUUCGGAUCGUAAAACUCUGUUGGUAGAGAAGAACGUUGGUGAGAGUGGAAAGCUCAUCAAGUGACGGUAACUACCCAGAAAGGGACGGCUAACUACGUG